UGUCAUAGCUUUAAUGGCAGAUGAAGAGCUGGUUCAAUAUAUCAAUAGAUAUGGAGACCGACUUGCUGUUCGAGCAUUUUGUCGGCAAAGAACUUGGACGAACAACAGUGAGACAGUGAAGUCAGCUCUGAUGCACAGGGUUUGAGAAAAAUGAAGGAAGAACAUCCGCCAAAAGCGACACAGCUGUAUGUAGACCUGUCGGCAAUAGAUAUGCAGUGAAAGACAAACGGCGGGUCGAAAUGGGAUGGCUUAACUUUCAGAAGGGCGAGUAUCACCAGGUCCGAACAAAAGGUGGAGGUGGACAUGGCACCAGUCUGUGCAGAAAACUGUAACCGUGGGUGAGCUGCUAUAUAGGCAAAGAUUUAUUCUUCCCAGAUGGACACUCUGCCAAAGGACCUAUUGGGAAGUUCAAUUUUGACAUUCGUGAUUUCAGUCAGAAUUCGCUACCUCAUGAUUGCACCGUAGACCAGCUGUAUGAGAGGACCAAGCUGCGAAUGCUGUGCAUUUACACGUGCUCCCAUUAAUCAUUCUCUCGGAUGCAUCCUCAGACUUUGAGCCCAACGAUGAGAGGCCAGUGAAGAACAAAACCAGGAGACAUCAUCACAAGAGGACUGAAUCUACCAAAGAGGAUCACCCAGAGAAAUGUUCUGAUUUAGAUGAGGCACCUACUGACUCAGUGCAAGAAACUCAUGAAAGAGGCGACGAGCCAGGCAAUCAAGAUCAGCCCCUCGUGAGAUGAGUGAAAUAGAAUUCCUGCCUUCACUUGCUGAUGAUUGUUUAAUGCUUGCGUCAAAUGAACAUGCAGACCAGUGCAGUUAUGAGGUGGAAUCCCAAAUUGCCCUUGCCAUCCAUGCGUCUCUCAAAGACUUUGAAGUACAGUUUGGAGGAAUUUGUUCUGGUGAUGAUGGUUGUGAAGACUCCACUCUUCCUUGGAAUCCUUGUUACCUCAACAAUAUGCAGCAUUCUACAAUGAACGAUUGACCUGCAUCAUCAAACAGUCUUACAGCAUCACCAGAUCAGUCUGAAAAAGAAGUCCUGUAUGAGGAAUUAAGGCGAGUUAACAUAGUUCAUGAUGUCCUUAAUGUCUUCAUGGAACCAAGAGUACUGAAUGUUAAUCUGAAAAUGGAGUUUAUGAAUGAGAAAGCUGUGGACACUGAUGGUGUGUCAAGAGAGGUGUAUUCUGCCUUCUGGGAACACUUCUUGGAACAGUGUGAGAGGGAAGAAGAGAGAGUUCCCAGACUACGACCAGACUAUUCUGAGAAGGAAUGGAAAGCAGUUGGAAGAGUGGUUGAAAGGAUACUUGGACUACGGCAUCAUGCCUAUCAGACUGUUAAUAGCUUUUGUGCUUGCCUGCUGCCAAGGAGUCAGCUCAGUGGAUGAAGAACUCUUGAUGACGUCCUUUGCCAGAUUCCUGUCAGUGACUGAGAGACAAUCCAUUGAAAAAGCAAUGCAAGGCAGCAUGGAUGAGAGUGAUGAGGAGGAAUUACUCGACCUCUUUUCACGAAUGGGCGCACACUGCCUGCCCUGUAAAGAAAACCUAAGGGCUACCAUUGUAACAAUGGCACACAAAGCUUAUUAUUGACUGUUUCCAGUCCAGUAUUCACACUGCUUUGCCAACUCCCAUAACCAAAGGGUGCCUAAUGGAUCUCUAUGAAUCUAAGAGACCAACCAACAGCAAAGUGGCACAGAUGAUUAAACCGUCAAAUGAAAGCUUAAGUACACAGGAGCAGGCAGCCCUCAACCACCUACUACGAUAUGUCAGAAGCAUUGACCAAAAUAAGCUAGAAACCUUUUUGCGCUUCUGCACAGGGUCCACUGUGCUGUGCAAAGACAAAAUUGAAGUAACUUUUAAUAAACUGUGUGGUUUAAGUCGCAGGCCUGUUGCACACACUUGUAGAGCAGUACUUGAGUUACUAUGCACCUAC